AGAGUUUGAUCAUGGCUCAGGACGAACGCUGGCGGCGUGCUUAACACAUGCAAGUCGAACGGAAAGUGCCCAGCUUGCUGGGUGACUCGAGUGGCGAACGGGUGAGUAACACGUGGGUGAUCUGCCCUGCACUUUGGGAUAAGCCUGGGAAACUGGGUCUAAUACCGAAUACACCCUGCUGGUCGCAUGGCCUGGUGGGGGAAAGCUUUUGCGGUGUGGGAUGGGCCCGCGGCCUAUCAGCUUGUUGGUGGGGUGAUGGCCUACCAAGGCGACGACGGGUAGCCGGCCUGAGAGGGUGUCCGGCCACACUGGGACUGAGAUACGGCCCAGACUCCUACGGGAGGCAGCAGUGGGGAAUAUUGCACAAUGGGCGCAAGCCUGAUGCAGCGACGCCGCGUGAGGGAUGACGGCCUUCGGGUUGUAAACCUCUUUCAAUAGGGACGAAGCGUAAGUGACGGUACCUAUAGAAGAAGCACCGGCCAACUACGUGCCAGCAGCCGCGGUAAUACGUAGGGUGCGAGCGUUGUCCGGAAUUACUGGGCGUAAAGAGCUCGUAGGUGGUUUGUCGCGUUGUUCGUGAAAACUCACAACUCAAUUGUGGGCGUGCGGGCGAUACGGGCAGACUGGAGUACUGCAGGGGAGACUGGAAUUCCUGGUGUAGCGGUGGAAUGCGCAGAUAUCAGGAGGAACACCGGUGGCGAAGGCGGGUCUCUGGGCAGUAACUGACGCUGAGGAGCGAAAGCGUGGGGAGCGAACAGGAUUAGAUACCCUGGUAGUCC
rnacentral:rRNA from 1 species